rfam:Ciona savignyi cont_37886, whole genome shotgun sequence.
GCUUAUCUUCCUUCCAGAUUGAAUAUACCCGAUCUCGUCUGAUCUCGGAAGUCAAGCAAUCUCGGGCUUGGUUAGUACUUGGAUGGGUGACCGCUUGGGAAUACCAAGUGUGAUAAGCA